CUACGGGAGGCAGCAGUGAGGAAUAUUGGUCAAUGGACGCAAGUCUGAACCAGCCAUGCCGCGUGCAGGAUGACGGUCCUAUGGAUUGUAAACUGCUUUUGUACAGGAAGAAACCCUGGCUCGUGAGCCAGAUUGACGGUACUGUAAGAAUAAGGAUCGGCUAACUCCGUGCCAGCAGCCGCGGUAAUACGGAGGAUCCAAGCGUUAUCCGGAAUCAUUGGGUUUAAAGGGUCCGUAGGCGGCCUAGCAAGUCAGUGGUGAAAUCUCCCCGCUCAACGGGGAAACGGCCAUUGAUACUACUAGGCUUGAAUUAUUAGGAAGUAACUAGAAUAUGUAGUGUAGCGGUGAAAUGCUUAGAUAUUACAUGGAAUACCAAUUGCGAAGGCAGGUUACUACUAAUGGAUUGACGCUGAUGGACGAAAGCGUGGGGAGCGAACAGGAUUAGAUACCCGGGUAGUCC
rnacentral:rRNA from 1 species